rnacentral:misc_RNA from 1 species
AAUGUCGUAACAAGGUUUCCGUAGGUGAACCUGCGGAAGGAUCAUUACAGAGAACCUGCCCUCCGGGGUUAGAUCUCCCACCCUUUGCUUACCUCACCUUUGUUGCUUUGGGCCAGGGCCCGUCCCCCGGGGUACCGCCGGCUCCGGCUGGCCCAGCGCCUGUCAGAGGACCCCCGAAACUCUUGUUUAAUUGUCGUCUGAGUACUAUAUAAUAAGGUUAAAAG